rnacentral:rRNA from 1 species
UACGAAGGGGGCUAGCGUUGCUCGGAAUUACUGGGCGUAAAGCGCACGUAGGCGGAUCAUUAAGUCAGGGGUGAAAUCCUGGAGCUCAACUCCAGAACUGCCUUUGAUACUGAGAAGCUCGAGUCCGGGAGAGGUGAGUGGAACUGCGAGUGUAGAGGUGAAAUUCGUAGAUAUUCGCAAGAACACCAGUGGCGAAGGCGGCUCACUGGCCCGGUACUGACGCUGAGGUGCGAAAGCGUGGGGAGCAAACAGG